rnacentral:lncRNA from 1 species
GCAAAUUGGCUUAUGUGUUUAAUGCAAUUCCUGUAAAAAUUCUAGAAAGUAUUUUGUUUUGUUUAUAUUUUUGUAAAAAUGGGCAAUCAGAUUUUAAGACUAAUGGAAUGCAAAGAGUCUCAAUUAGCCAAGCUAUUCUAAAAAGAACAAAAUUUGAAGACAUUACAUAAAUUAAGAGAGUAUGGCAUUGGCACUUGGAUAGACAUGAAAUCAGGUAAGAUGAUGCCUCCAGAUUUCUUCUUUUUGCUUAGUCUUGUUUUGGCUAUGUAGGCUCCUUUUUGGUUCCACAUGAAUUUUAGGGUAGUUUUCUCUAGUUCUGUGAAGAAUGAUGAUGGUAUUUUGAUGGGAAUUGCAUUGAAUUUGUAGAUUGCUUUUGGCAACAUGGUCAUUUUCACAAUAUUGAUUCCACCCAUCCACUAUGAGUCUACCAGAUCAAUAAUUUCACUUCCUUUACUGCAUCCUGUUGACCAGGUCCAGCUUCCACUUCAAAGUUACCUCACGUUGUCCACAUUGAUACUGCCGCAAAAAAAUGAAGUAAUAUUUCUCAAGGACAUAUUGCUUGAAUUAGAAGAAAAAAAUUUCCAUAAGAUUGCCCAAGAAAAGAACAUAUGUGUUCACUAUAAUUCCCACUGGAAAAUUGAAGUCUUUUAGAUUCAUGUUAUACUUUAUAGAAAUGCAGUG